rnacentral:rRNA from 1 species
AGAGUUUGAUCAUGGCUCAGAUUGAACGCUGGCGGCAGGCCUAACACAUGCAAGUCGAGCGGAUGAGAGGAGCUUGCUCCUUGAUUUAGCGGCGGACGGGUGAGUAAUGCCUAGGAAUCUGCCUGGUAGUGGGGGAUAACGUCCGGAAACGGGCGCUAAUACCGCAUACGUCCUACGGGAGAAAGCAGGGGACCUUCGGGCCUUGCGCUAUCAGAUGAGCCUAGGUCGGAUUAGCUAGUUGGUGAGGUAAUGGCUCACCAAGGCGACGAUCCGUAACUGGUCUGAGAGGAUGAUCAGUCACACUGGAACUGAGACACGGUCCAGACUCCUACGGGAGGCAGCAGUGGGGAAUAUUGGACAAUGGGCGAAAGCCUGAUCCAGCCAUGCCGCGUGUGUGAAGAAGGUCUUCGGAUUGUAAAGCACUUUAAGUUGGGAGGAAGGGCAGUAAGCUAAUACCUUGCUGUUUUGACGUUACCGACAGAAUAAGCACCGGCUAACUUCGUGCCAGCAGCCGCGGUAAUACGAAGGGUGCAAGCGUUAAUCGGAAUUACUGGGCGUAAAGCGCGCGUAGGUGGUUCGUUAAGUUGGAUGUGAAAGCCCCGGGCUCAACCUGGGAACUGCAUCCAAAACUGGCGAGCUAGAGUACGGUAGAGGGUGGUGGAAUUUCCUGUGUAGCGGUGAAAUGCGUAGAUAUAGGAAGGAACACCAGUGGCGAAGGCGACCACCUGGACUGAUACUGACACUGAGGUGCGAAAGCGUGGGGAGCAAACAGGAUUAGAUACCCCGGUAGUCC